UCAGACGAUUGUGUUCAACUUCAUCGUUCACGCUUCAAGUACAUAAUCCCGCUCCCGUUUGAUGUGUAAAUACAUGUGUACAUCAAAACAAUAUUACAAAACUAUAAUCAACUAUUAUUAUUUGAACUACAGUUAAGUAUUAUGCAUUGGACGUAGUGAAAAUGUGUCUUCUACUUGUAGCAUACGCUGAAUGCUGUGAGUUGGCAGAAAAGUAUUCUAAACCAGGCUGAACGUUCUAUAGCUGAAAUGUCAAAAUAAAUCGAGAGCUGGACUCUCUGGGGUUUUGAAAGUCAACGCGAAUAGACGUGUUUCAUUUAUAACCCGAAAAUAUAAAAGUGGCGACGUGGAUAAAAGUUUUGGUUGUACCAAGUGGAAGAUCCUUCCAGAAGAUUUCUGCCACAUAGGACAAAGAGACAAGCAGCAUUUUUUUCUGCACGACUGCAGAGAAACAGCAGGAAAGAUUUCAACUGUUCCUGUGCGACUGCAGAUAAUAAACGAUUUUUUGGUGACAAAAUUGCACGGAGGAUAUAGGAAAUUCCUGAGGAGGAUUCGUUCGGGUACAGACUUCAAUUUUGGUGACUACUGGAAACGUGCAAAUCGCAGCACAUAGGAACCAAUUAAGGGUAUCAAAGGAUACGCGUUCGAAAACGGCAAACAACGUAGCGAUUACAAUUUCAUCAGAAGUUCAAGACAUGAUCCGAAUUAGAGAUGAAGAAGAAUUCAGGGGAUUCCCUGAGGAUCCUGUCAGAAGGAGAUAGAAAACGAAAAGUGCUAAUGCCAGAAUAUCUCCGGCGUUCGAAAAGAUGGAGAACUGCAAAGGCAGACAGAGAUUUUAUAUAUAUUUGAAAGUGCUAAUAGAAUAUUGAAAUGAAUUGUAUUGAAUUGAUAGAUGUAAAAAGAAUUAUUAUUAAAUAUUCGUAGAGAAACAAUAUGAGUAGGUAUAGGUUGAUAAAUAUCAAUGAACUGAAUUAGUUUUCCUCUCAAAUUAAGGGGAAAGAACUGUAGCAUACGCUGAAUGCUGUGAGUUGGCAGAAAAGUAUUGUAAA